GGUUUAACCUCUUGCAGUUUCCUCUGUCUCUCCAAGGACAGAGGCUCCCUCUGUGACUCAGCCCAAGCAGGUCACCUCAUCCAAUGACAAGCACCUCAUCCUGUAACAAGGCACAGAAGUUCCACUGGGGACUAAUAAAGAGCACUGGUCCAAGGAAAAUGCAGUAACAUGGGCCUGGCAUCCCAGUUUGGCUCAUCUCGCUUGACAGAGUGCUUGAUUCAAAAUACUGUCUGCAUCCUCUACCACAUGAGAAAAUCACUUUCACCUGCUACAGCAUCUUUUACCUCAGAAGGAACAGCCUUCUGUUUAAAAUACAGUACACCCGCUCUGGAGGGAUGUGUCAGGAAGUUUCACCCUGCUGAAGUCCUUUAUUCUGACAUUUGAAUUGGAGACAUCAGGAUUUCCCAAUAGGAAGACUGGACCCACUGUGUCUUUGGACUUCUUAUGGAAUACACAGACUAUUCUGCAAGUGCUUGGAGCUGGAGAAAUGCCUGUAACAGCUGGAAUCAUAUUUAAUGACAAGCCAAGGAAGGAACACCCUGAUCUAUGAAAUAAAGAUGAGAAACAGCAC
rnacentral:lncRNA from 1 species